AUUGAACGCUGGCGGCAUGCCUUACACAUGCAAGUCGAACGGCAGCACGGGUGCUUGCACCUGGUGGCGAGUGGCGAACGGGUGAGUAAUACAUCGGAACAUGUCCUGUAGUGGGGGAUAGCCCGGCGAAAGCCGGAUUAAUACCGCAUACGAUCUACGGAUGAAAGCGGGGGACCUUCGGGCCUCGCGCUAUAGGGUUGGCCGACGGCUGAUUAGCUAGUUGGUGGGGUAAAGGCCUACCAAAGCGACGAUCAGUAGCUGGUCUGAGAGGACGACCAGCCACACUGGGACUGAGACACGGCCCAGACUCCUACGGGAGGCAGCAGUGGGGAAUUUUGGACAAUGGGCGAAAGCCUGAUCCAGCAAUGCCGCGUGUGUGAAGAAGGCCUUCGGGUUGUAAAGCACUUUUGUCCGGAAAGAAAUCCUUGGCCCUAAUACGGUCGGGGGAUGACGGUACCGGAAGAAUAAGCACCGGCUAACUACGUG
rnacentral:rRNA from 1 species